UACAGAGGUCUCGAGCGUUGUUCGGAUUUACUGGGCGUAAAGGGAGCGUAGGCGGUUUGGUGUGUCGAAUGUGAAAGCCCGCAACUCAACUGCGGAAUGGCAUUCGAAACUACCCGACUGGAGUACUGGAGAGGAGAGCGGAAUUCUUGGUGUAGCGGUGAAAUGCGUAGAUAUCAAGAGGAACACCGGUGGCGAAGGCGGCUCUCUGGACAGAUACUGACGCUGAGGCUCUAAAGGUAGGGGAG
rnacentral:rRNA from 1 species